rnacentral:pre_miRNA from 1 species
GAUGCACUCAGUGGGGGAGCCAGGAAGUAUUGAUGUUUCUGCCAGGUUAGCGUCAACACUUGCUGGUUUCCUCUCUGGAGCAU